rnacentral:tRNA from 1 species
GGGUUCAUCGUCUAAUGGAUAAGGACAGGGAUCUUCUAAGUCUCCAAUGUAGGUUCGAUUCCUACUGAGCCUA